rnacentral:rRNA from 1 species
CAGCAGCCGCGGUAAUACGAAGGGUGCAAGCGUUACUCGGAAUUACUCGGCGUAAAGCGUGCGUAGGUGGUGGUUUAAGUCCGUUGUGAAAGCCCUGGGCUCAACCUGGGAAUUGCAGUGGAUACUGGAUCACUAGAGUGUGGUAGAGGAUAGUGGAAUUUCCGGUGUAGCAGUGAAAUGCGUAGAGAUCGGAAGGAACAUCUGUGGCGAAGGCGACUAUCUGGGCCAACACUGACACUGAGGCACGAAAGCGUGGGGAGCAAACAGGAUUAGAUACCCCUGUAGUCCCUGUCUCUUAUAC